rnacentral:tRNA from 5 species
GCGGAUGUGGCGGAAUUGGUAGACGCCCCGGAUUUAGGUUCCGGUGCCGAAAGGCGUGGGGGUUCGAGUCCCUUCAUCCGCACCA